rnacentral:lncRNA from 1 species
UUUAUAAUAUGAUUACAAAGAAGUCAUUAAAUAACUAGAUGAAAGUAGGUCAUGCAGGUAACCAAGCAAGAUUAUGUUAUGAAUCAAAAUAAUAGUUAAUCCAAACUAGGUUCAAUCAUUUUUAAAUAUCAGAUCAUGUCUGAGUUCAUGUCCUUUGUAGGGACAUGGAUAAAGCUGGAAACCAUCAUUCUGAGCAAACUAUCACAAGGACAGAAAACCAAACACCACAUGUUCUCACUCAUAGGUGGGGAUUGAAC